GGGAGCUGACCUUGAAGCUUUUUUCUUCAAUUAAUGGAGUCUGGGAGGUAUGGGCUGAACAGGGUCGAGGGAAAAUCAAAUAUCAGUAGCGUAGCAGAGCAGAGGAAGAGGGAGGGAAAAGACAGUAGUCGUUCUUGUGACGCCCCCAAAAUAGGAAUACAUCACCCAUCUUGAGUCUCCAAAUACAUGGUACAAAAAUAUAAAAUAUAACUUACUUAUACAACUGUCGUGUAACAUACGACAAAACAUAAGCUGAGAGUUUAAACAAGAAUAUUGUCUUCUAGACAAUAUCCACUCUCAAUGGAGUCCUCAUUAUAUUUAUUGUCACACUAUUUAAUAGAAUAGUGAGGACUAAUAAUGCUAUCAUCUAGACCGUAACUUCGUUCCCCGACUCGUCCCAACUAUAUUCUCAUUUCCUGAAGAGAACAGUGAAAGAAAGGGUGAGCUCAACUAGCCUAGUAAGAAAUAUUAUGACUAAGAUAAUGCAGAAUAAAUUAUCAUUAGUCUUCAACAAUGUUAAACUGAUAAAAUACAAUAGACAUCAAGUUUAACUGCAGCGGAACAAGCAAUCCAUUAGAAGAGUCAAGUAAAGAAUAA
rnacentral:lncRNA from 1 species